ensembl:snRNA U6 U6 spliceosomal RNA
GUGAUCACUUCGGCAGCACAUAUACUAAAAUUGUCAUGACACACAGACAGUUAGCACAGCCUCUGUGCAAGGAUGACAUGCAAAUCUGUGAAGCAUUCCAAAAUUGC